rnacentral:rRNA from 1 species
CACUUAUAGAUGGAUCCGCGCUGCAUUAGCUAGUUGGUAAGGUAACGGCUUACCAAGGCAACGAUGCAUAGCCGACCUGAGAGGGUGAUCGGCCACACUGGAACUGAGACACGGUCCAGACUCCUACGGGAGGCAGCAGUAGGGAAUCUUCCGCAAUGGGCGAAAGCCUGACGGAGCAACGCCGCGUGAGUGAUGAAGGUCUUCGGAUCGUAAAACUCUGUUAUUAGGGAAGAACAUAUGUGUAAGUAACUGUGCACAUCUUGACGGUACCUAAUCAGAAAGCCACGGCUAACUACGUGCCAGCAGCCGCGGUAAUACGUAGGUGGCAAGCGUUAUCCGGAAUUAUUGGGCGUAAAGCGCGCGUAGGCGGUUUUUUAAGUCUGAUGUGAAAGCCCACGGCUCAACCGUGGAGGGUCAUUGGAAACUGGAAAACUUGAGUGCAGAAGAGGAAAGUGGAAUUCCAUGUGUAGCGGUGAAAUGCGCAGAGAUAUGGAGGAACACCAGUGGCGAAGGCGACUUUCUGGUCUGUAACUGACGCUGAUGUGCGAAAGCGUGGGGAUCAAACAGGAUUAGAUACCCUGGUAGUCCACGCCGUAAACGAUGAGUGCUAAGUGUUAGGGGGUUUCCGCCCCUUAGUGCUGCAGCUAACGCAUUAAGCACUCCGCCUGGGGAGUACGACCGCAAGGUUGAAACUCAAAGGAAUUGACGGGGACCCGCACAAGCGGUGGAGCAUGUGGUUUAAUUCGAAGCAACGCGAAGAACCUUACCAAAUCUUGACAUCCUUUGACAACUCUAGAGAUAGAGCCUUCCCCUUCGGGGGACAAAGUGACAGGUGGUGCAUGGUUGUCGUCAGCUCGUGUCGUGAGAUGUUGGGUUAAGUCCCGCAACGAGCGCAACCCUUAAGCUUAGUUGCCAUCAUUAAGUUGGGCACUCUAAGUUGACUGCCGGUGACAAACCGGAGGAAGGUGGGGAUGACGUCAAAUCAUCAUGCCCCUUAUGAUUUGGGCUACACACGUGCUACAAUGGACAAUACAAAGGGCAGCGAAACCGCGAGGUCAAGCAAAUCCCAUAAAGUUGUUCUCAGUUCGGAUUGUAGUCUGCAACUCGACUACAUGAAGCUGGAAUCGCUAGUAAUCGUAGAUCAGCAUGCUACGGUGAAUACGUUCCCGGGUCUUGUACACACCGCCCGUCACACCACGAGAGUUUGUAACACCCGAAGCCGGUGGAGUAACCUUUUAGGAGCUAGCCGUCGAAGGUGGGACAAAUGAUUGGGGUGAAGUCGUAACAAGGUAGCCGUAUCGGAAGGUGCGGCUGGAUCACCUCCUUU